AAUCUUAAUUUUUGUAAUUAAUUACAUGACAAUACCAUUAGAAAAUUUUAAUCAAAAAUAGAAUCUUUUAAUGACAUCAUUAAGAUUACCAAAAUCAUUUAACGACAAUAUUCAUCUCUUAAUUAUAGGGCUUAUUGGAUUUAAAGACGGGUCAUCAAAGAUUUCCUAAACUGAAGCAAAAUAUACCGAAUAUUCAAAUAUCUAUCUGUUACCAAAUUAUAAACAAAUAAGUUCGUAAAACAAUUUAAUAUUUUAUAUACGAAAUCAAUUAAAAUCUUAAUUACAGAAAAAUUA
rnacentral:sRNA from 1 species